rnacentral:rRNA from 1 species
GCAAGUCGAGCGGAAACGAUGAUAGCUUGCUAUCAGGCGUCGAGCGGCGGACGGGUGAGUAACGCGUAGGAAUCUGCCCAGUAGAGGGGGACAACAUGUGGAAACGCAUGCUAAUACCGCAUACGCCCUUAGGGGGAAAGGAGGGGAUCACUUGUGACCUUUCGCUAUUGGAUGAGCCUGCGUGAGAUUAGCUAGUUGGUGGGGUAAAGGCUCACCAAGGCGACGAUCUCUAACUGGUCUGAGAGGAUGACC